rnacentral:rRNA from 1 species
UACGUAGGGUGCGAGCGUUAAUCGGAAUUACUGGGCGUAAAGCGUGCGCAGGCGGCUUACUAAGACAGGUGUGAAAGCCCCGAGCUUAACUUGGGAAUGGCGCUUGUGACUGGUAGGCUGGAGUGUGGCAGAGGGAGGUGGAAUUCCACGUGUAGCAGUGAGAUGCGUAGAGAUGUGGAGGAACACCGAUGGCGAAGGCAGCCUCCUGGGCCAGCACUGACGCUCAUGCACGAAAGCGUGGGGAGCAAACAGG